rnacentral:rRNA from 1 species
AGAGUUUGAUCCUGGCUCAGGAUGAACGCUGGCGGCGUGCUUAACACAUGCAAGUCGAACGAAGCACUUUUAAUUGAUUUCCUCGGAAUGAUUUUACUUGUGACUGAGUGGCGGACGGGUGAGUAACGCGUGGGUAACCUGCCUCAUACAGGGGGAUAACAGUUGGAAACGACUGCUAAUACCGCAUAAGCGCACGGCAUCGCAUGAUGCAGUGUGAAAAACUCCGGUGGUAUGAGAUGGACCCGCGUCUGAUUAGCUAGUUGGCAGGGUAACGGCCUACCAAGGCGACGAUCAGUAGCCGACCUGAGAGGGUGACCGGCCACAUUGGGACUGAGACACGGCCCAAACUCCUACGGGAGGCAGCAGUGGGGAAUAUUGCACAAUGGGCGAAAGCCUGAUGCAGCGACGCCGCGUGAAUGAAGAAGUAUUUUCGGUAUGUAAAGUUCUAUCAGCAGGGGAAGAAAAUGACGGUACCUGACUAAGAAGCACCCGGCUAAAUACGUGCCAGCAGCCGCGGU